UCCCGCUUAUCACGGGCAGUUCCCCCAAAGUGCCCAGCUUGACCUGCUGGCAACCGAGGGUGUGGGUUGCGCUCGUUGCCGGACUUAACCGAACAUCUCACGACACGAGCUGACGACAACCAUGCACCACCUGUCCACCGGCCCCGAAGGGAAACCCCAUCUCUGGGGCGGUCCGGCGGAUGUCAAGCCUUGGUAAGGUUCUUCGCGUUGCCUCGGAUUAAGCCACAUGCUCCGCCGCUUGUGCGGGCCCCCGUCAAUUCCUUUGAGUUUUAGCCUUGCGGCCGUACUCCCCAGGCGGGGCGCUUAAUGCGUUAGCUGCGGCACGGAACCCGUGGAAUGGAUCCCACACCUAGCGCCCAACGUUUACGGUGUGGACUAC
rnacentral:misc_RNA from 1 species